rnacentral:rRNA from 1 species
UACGUAGGGGGGCAAGCGUUGUCCGGAUUUAUUGGGCGUAAAGAGCGUGUAGGCGGCCAUACAGGUCCGUUGUGAAAACUCGAGGCUUAACCUCGAGACGUCGAUGGAAACCGUAUGGCUAGAGUCCGGAAGAGGAGAGUGGAAUUCCUGGUGUAGCGGUGAAAUGCGCAGAUAUCAGGAAGAACACCCGUGGCGAAGGCGGCUCUCUGGGACGGUACUGACGCUGAGACGCGAAAGCGUGGGGAGCAAACAGG